AGUGCCACCAAGAAUGGAUGAAGGUACCUUACAUCUCUCUCGUGAUUUCCAACAACAUAUUGGGUAUCUGGGAUAUCUCUAGCCCAAGUUAUAUUGUUGAAGAGUUCAAUUGUGAUUUAGAAUGCACAGGACGAAACCACUGGAUACCUGAAGGAAGAAGAAAUUAAGUGAAAAACAAGUAUUAUCUCUUCCAUAUUUUCCUAUAGGUAAACAACAACAUCAACAAAUGAGGAAGCUUAGCAGCAGAUAUAAUUGCUUUCUCAGAAAACAUUUUGACCAGCUGCAUCCUUUAAAAAGAGAGAGAGAGAGAGAGAGAGAGAGAGAGAGAGAGAGAGAGAGAGAGAGAGAAUGCCAGUGAUAAACUACAGCUGUUCAGUUCUGGAGUAUAAAUUAGG